AAUGGUUUGCGCGCAGUGGUGAGAGCGGAGAGGGAGAGAGAGAGAGAGAGAGAGAGAUGACGCGCACUGUGUAAUCGGAUGUGGCUAAUUCAUGAUGUUCACCUCCUUAUGUUUAAUAAAUCAAGUGUUAUGAUCUCCCGAGGUCCCUGUCGGUGUCCUCCUUGCAACAAAGCCAAGAACCCACGAGCCAGCGCGCGUUUUCGAGAUAUCGACAGCAAACCAACUCCACCCCGUCUGGUCUGAUACGGAGAAGUAUGCUGAGAGCCAGAGCCCCGGCCCCCAUCAUGUGCACCUUCUACAGAGGUACCAUCGAGAGCAUUCUGACGAGAUGCAUCACUGUGUGGUAUGGUGCCUGCAACGCGUCCUGCUGAAAGACCCUCCAACGCAUAGUGAGAGCAGCUGAGAAGAUUGUUGGUGUCUCUCUCUCUCUCCCUUCUGCAUUGCGGGUGAUCCCACCCACCCGACACACAGCUUCUGAAGGACAGCUUCAUCCACCAGGCUGUCAGGAAGCUCAAAUCUCUCCCGGCUCUGCCUCCCCUCCCCUCUUCUGCACCAUACACUGACAAAACUCUGACCCUCCUUUUUUUUGUGUGUGUGUUAUCUGUAUGCACCUAGGGUCUGAGAGUAACGUAAUUUUAAUUCUCUGUAUGUGCUGAACAUGUGGCAGAAUUGACAAUAAAGCAGACUUUGACUUUGAAUAAUAAUAGUUUCUUAUAAGCCUGUAUACUCAUAAAUACUGUCAGGAGUCUAUGCACGUUCGCUUCCGCAUGUAGUCUCAGUGGGCAUCGCAACUUCCGGUGCUGCGCCGGAAGCAAUUUUUGCCAUCCCUUUGAGUGAUUGCUGUCAGCAUGGCUUUCUACACUUGCUGUUUGCAAGAUCUUCCAUGAAUUACAGUGAGCGAUGUCAGUGGCAUUGUGAGAUUGGCAUCUGUCACUCCCUCUAGUAAGAAGAAGGGCUCGAAACUGCAUGUUUUGAGUUAUACUGAAAAUUUUGAGGGUAAGUAUUCUCAAGCUAACAAGCUAGCUAGCUUCGUUUGUGACAGUUCAUACUUGUAUACGUUUAAUUUCUAUCUAGUUAAACUUUUUUAGAUAUUCUGUUUUUAUAGUUUCACUAAUGUUAUGUUACACAAUAUGUAUUCUUCAUUAGGACUAUAAAUGUCCCUAAUUUUGUGCAUUUUUUUCCCAGUUUCUGAUAAGGAUCAGCGUGAAGGCGACUUGUUUCAGAUCUAUGAGGAAGUCACAGAAGCCUCAUUAGCCAAGUUUCAUUUUUGAGCUUUUCAGUUAUAGACAAAGUAAAAGUGCGUAAAAAAAGUUUGCAAAAUUUGCUGUCUCCCGUCUGUUUCCAUCCAAUUGGCCUUUUACUGAUAACUGGUGUGCGUGGUGAUGUCAUCCUAAAAAAAAAUUGUCGCAUAAGUUUUCGUGUAUCGCAAAAGUAAUCUGCCCUUGAGCCGUUCCCAUACAUAAUUUUGUGUACAACACAAAUUGUGUACCUUGUGCGUCCCACCUGUCCUCAAAUAUUUGUACAAUGGAGAGAGUAUCGCCACAACUAGCUAAUUGAAAUGGGCCAGUUUACUUUCAUUUCAGUUUCACAAAUAAUUGCAGUCGUACGAAAUAUCAGAAGACGACGUAAGAAUGGAGCAGUUGCUCGUCUGAUAGGGCUCCAAGUAACUGCCCUUAGGCGAGGAAUCCCAUGGGUCUGGGAGAGACCAUGCAGUAGGGUGUUCUGGGAGGCAGUGAUGGAGAGACACUUCACAGAAAGUCUCUGGCUGCAACAUUUUAGAAUGUCACGGUCCACGUUUGAGAUGCUGUGCCAGUUAAUUGGUCCUGAUGUUGCGCCAAUCGCAGGUUGCCACCGACCACCGGUUCUGACCUGAAAGUGGAUAGCCAUUUUCCUGUUCAAGGUGGCAACCUGCGCCGAGUACUGAAUAGUGGGUGAAACUUUUGGGGUUAGUAAAACGACCGUCUGUGUGCACAGCUAUUAAAUCUUGUGCCACAGGUUUAUGGUGCGCUGGGUGGAACGCACAUCCCUAUUCUUCCCCUGAUGGAUGAAUAAAUUGUGAAUGCCAUUUUUCUCGACAAAACUGUUUCCAAACUAUUUUUUUGCAACAUUUGAAGUAUCGAAACAGAAUUUAUGCGCUAA